rnacentral:rRNA from 1 species
UGGGGAAUUUUGGACAAUGGGCGCAAGCCUGAUCCAGCCAUGCCGCGUGCAGGAUGAAGGCCUUCGGGUUGUAAACUGCUUUUGUACGGAACGAAAAGACUCUGGUUAAUACCUGGGGUCCAUGACGGUACCGUAAGAAUGAGCACCGGCUAACUACGUGCCAGCAGCCGCGGUAAUACGUAGGGUGCGAGCGUUAAUCGGAAUUACUGGGCGUAAAGCGUGCGCAGGCGGUUUUGUAAGACAGUGGUGAAAUCCCCGGGCUCAACCUGGGAACUGCCAUUGUGACUGUAAAGCUAGAGUGCGGCAGAGGGGGAUGGAAUUCCGCGUGUAGCAGUGAAAUGCGUAGAUAUGCGGAGGAACACCGAUGGUGAAGGCAAUCCCCUGGGCCUGUACUGACGCUCAUGCACGAAAGCGUGGGGAGCAAACA